GCAGCUUGGGGGAGGAUCCCGGUGAAAGGGUGAGCUGGGAAGUGCGGGGAGGGAGACUGGUUCUCCAACAACACUACCCCCUAAACCUGGAGCUGUGGGUCCUGAUGGUGGAGGAAGCAUCAGGGCCCGAAGGCCCCACUGUGAGGAAACCCCUGCUCCCGACCUUCAGGCACUCCUUCCCCCACCAUCAGCCCGGCCAGGGCAGGUCGAUUUGAAGAGUGACUGAGGGUGUCGGGAUCCAGCUUCCAGCUCCAGCUCCUCCGGGGUUUAUCACUGUGGAGAGCACUAAAUGCCCCAGGCUGAGCUACCCAUCUGGUGAUCAGAUGACCCAGCUCCUGAUCUCUUAGGAAUCUGCAUCUCUUCAUGGCAGCCUGCUGGUGGAUGCUCUGGAACUAGUGCGUAUCUGCUCAACGCUGGAGCCGGAACUCUGGUGCCCAGGGAAGGCGAGUGUCCUACAGAGAUUUGAAGCUAAGUGGAACAGAAGCCAGGGAGGUCCCAGCCCUGCUCUCACUGCUGGUUUCAUGCA
rnacentral:lncRNA from 1 species